rnacentral:lncRNA from 1 species
UUUUUUUUUUUUUUUUGUCCUUUUGCAUUUUCUAGGGCCAUACCCGUGGCAUAUGGAGGUUCCUAGGCUAGGGGUCUAAUUGGAGCUGUAGCCACCAGCCUACACCACAGUCACAGCAAUGUGGAAUCUGAGCUGUGUCUGUGACCUACACCACAGCUCACGGCAAAUCUGGAUCCUUAACCCACUGAGCAAGGCCAGGGAUCGAACCUGAAACCUCAUGGUUCCUAGUCGGAUUCCUUAACCACUGAGCCACGAUGGGAACUCCAUGACCUUUUAAGAUUAUUUAAAUUCCUCUCUGAUUCUUAAGAUUCUCCAAAGGUGAGCAUUCAGAUACCCUUGUUUCUGGUAAAGUGAAGGGAAGGUUAAGACUUAUGACUUAAUCCCCUAUUCAUAUGCCUCAUGCACCAUAGUAUACGGCAAUGGCUAGAAAUCUUGACUGCACUUUUAUAAAUUAUAAUGCCCAAGCUGUGAUGGAGAGCAAUCACUAUCAAUGUCGGUGGGGGGGGCACCCAGACAUCAGAAUAUUCAAAACUUUCCAGGUGAUUCCAAAGUACAGUCAUGCUUGGGCAUCAGUGGUACAGGGCAAAGUGUGGUCCUUGGGGCCAGCAGCAUCAACGUCACUUAGAACUUAUUAGAAAUGCUAAUUCCCAGUUCCCACCUGAAACCUACUGAUUCAGAACUUCUGGAGAUGGAGCCCAAACGUCUGUUUUAACAAGCUCUCCAGGUGAGCACACCAACAUUUGAUUUAGCAACUCCAAGCUUCACUGAUUUUCUACUUGGGAUUGCUGCUACCAUGACUUCAUCUGGCCACAGAAAGACUCUUCUGCUUUGGAUAAAAGUAAAUUAUUCCUAGGAGUUAUCUUGUGGUGCAGUGGGUUAAGGAUCAGGCGUUGUCACUGCAGUGGCUUGGGUCACUGAUGUGGCAUGGGUUUGAUCCCUGGCCCAGGAACUUCCACAAGCCAUGGGCAUGGCCAACCCCCUCCCCCCAAAAAGGACACACACACACACACACACACACACACACACACACACGCAUGCACACACACACAGAGUCAAUUAUUCCUCACUUGUUUCAGCAUGGUGAGAUUGGAAUUGCCAAAAGGACUUUAAUUAGGGAAAGCAGAAGGGGAACAAAUGAUAUUCAAAAGCAUAAAAACAUGAAUUAUUCAGUAUACUGAUAACAAAAAGUUAACUCUAUUUGUUUACUAAUUCAUUUAAUACAUCAGCAUUGAAUAUCAGAGAUACGAAAAUAAAUUAGAAGCCUCUCUAACAUGAAGGAGCUCAGGGUUUUAGGGAAAGACAGAGUUGUAAAUAAAUGUGUGUAAGGAAUUAUGAGAGGUACCAUUAUAGAAAUCUGGUCUUUAUGGAACUCAUCCACAAAGAUGGGGCCAGGUUUGUGGGACCCAAAGCUUGUGCACACAUGGCAGGCUCAUUAAAAUAACAGACUACAAAGUUAUUAAAAAAAAAUUAGGUGCAGGCCUUAAAAUGCAAUCUGAAGCAGCAGCUGGAAUACAGCUACGCUGGUUAGCCCACUGGUGUCCUGAUGCUUUGUCACAGUUUAGGUGAUGCUCUUGAGGGUAGAACCUGUAUUCAUUUUUCUCACUGAUAGAACCUCUGCAUAGCACAACACCUGGCACUUGGUAGGGGAUCAAUAACUAUCUUUUGAAAGACUGAAUCUAUGCAGAUUAAGGAGGAGGCACAAGCUAGUUCUGUCUUUAGCCUAAGAAACUCAGCUAUAAUAACUUUGGUGUGUCCUUGGUCUCUGGAAUCUUUUUUCUAAGGCACUUUUAUCUCUCUCUCUCUCUCUUUUUUUUUUUUUUUUGUCUUGUCUAGGGCUGCACCUGCGGCAUAUGGAGGUUCCCAGAUUAGGGGUCUAAUCAGAGCUACAGCUGCCGGCCUACACCAUAGACACAGCCACAGCAAUGCCAGACCUGAGCCACAUCUGCAACCUACACCACAGCUCACAAUGCCGGAUCCUUAACCCACUGAGCAAUGCCAGGGAUCAAACCUGCAUUCUCAUAGAUGCUAGUCAGGUUAGUUAACCACUGAGCUAUGAUGGAAAUGCCAAAAAACUGAUAUCAUUACCUGGUCUUCUCAUUUUCCCCUCAAGCAUGGACUGGAGAAUGAGAAAAGUCCAUCCCAUCCUACCAUCAAGAAUCUUCGUGUUUUAGGUUGGUUUGUUGGAAUGUUGUUGCUACAUCUUUUAAUUAUCUAGAAGCUUCUUUUCUUCACCUUCUGAACCUCUUCCACUUGUGCAUGAUCUGUAUCUCAAGGUCAUGUUUAAUUUAGUUAUACUUAGGCAUGAACCAGAGAGUACUAGCUGGUUAUGCCAAUUGGGUAAGCUUGGCCUUCUCAUCAAUGUCUUUGUCUAUAACUUGGUUUGAUAUUAAUGUUCACUGUAUGAUUCAAAAUAGUGGACUCUACCUUUUUUCAGCACGGAGGACUUAUUUCCAUAUUUUCCAUCCUCAGACAGCCACCCAGAUCUGCUUCUUCCUUCUGGGAUUACUCAUUUACUUUCAACAUUUGGUUUAGGGACCACAUCAAUUAAGGCCUCAUUUGUAUAACCACAGGGAAAACCCUGGCCUGAGCCAAAUGCCUACUCAGUGCUUUGGCGUCUGUGAUUCUUCUGGGUUUCUCACUUAGAGGCUGGUUUGCACAAUUUCCCAUUGCCUUGACCACAACUCCGGUAAUAUAGCUCUUGCAAGCUUAUGACUGUGGUCUAUAGGGAUCUUCAAAUUUACUACUCUGUCUUGCUGCCUUUGAGAUUUCUAGAUGACUUUGCUUAAACUGCUUAAAAUUUGCCCUGAAUGUCCCAUCUUAAAUUUUCUCUGUUUUGGAACUUGUUUCCACUUUAAAAACCUAUUACAUUUUGGGAUGCUAGUAAUGAUCUGCUUCUUUACUGAGUAGUAGUUACAUGGGUGGGUACAGUUUAGGAAAGUUUAUGGAAUUGUACACAUCUCUGUAUAUAUGUUAUACUUUAAUUAAAAAGUAGACAACCUGUUAAAUUUUAUCAAAAUGUGCAUAUUUGUACACAAAGCUUUUAUUUAUUUCAGUUUUAUAGUCAUAGAACUACUGAGUCACAAAACUUUUAAAGGCUCUUAAAAAUUGCUUUCAAAGGAGUGUAUGAGUUUACAUUCCUGUCAUUAGCAAUUAAAUCUUAUUACUAAAAAUACUUUGAUAAUGUAUAAGCAAAACUUUCUUUUUCAAUUUAAAUUUCUUUAAGUAUCCAUACAGUUGAACACAGUCCAAUUUAGAAACUUCAAAUUAGAAAAGUAAUCUCUCUCUUUGUAUAUUUACACAUACAUACAUAUAUAUUUAUAUAUACACAUAAAGCACAUAUGGAUAUGCAUAUCCAUAUAUGUAAAUAUGUAUGAUAUCAUACACAUUUAGACAUUGUGGAAAAACUGGAGACAUAGAAUACUAGAAAGAAAAAAUUGUGCUAGAUGAGCUCUAAACUCCGAAUGCUAUGGACAUAGUAUCAGAAAUUUCAUAUCUAAAGCCAUGUAGCAAAAGUCAUCGUACAGGAUGCUGGUUUCAAAAGUCAUUUCUAGGAGUUCCCAUCGUGGCUCAGUGGAAAUGAAUCCAACUAGUAUCCAUGAGGAUGCAGGUUCGAUCCCUGGCCAUACUCAAUGGGUUAAGUAUCUGGUAUUGCCUUGACCUGUGGUGUAGGUGGAAGACUCAGCUCAGAUAUGGCAUUGCUGUGGCUGUGGUGUAGGCCAGUGGCUACGGCUCCCAUUUGACCCCUAGCCUGGGAACCUCCAUACACUGAGGGUAUGCCCUAAAAAGACAAAAAACAAAACAAAAACCAAACAUUUCUAACUAGAGCCGCCUUGCUUUUUUGCCAAAUAAAAACCUAGGUACAUUUUUAUCUAAUUGAGUGCCACCCUGAAAUGGUGGGCACCAUUGUUGUAUGUCUACAAGUUGUAUCCACAAUUAAGGUCUAAGGAAAAAGAUGUUCUCUUAGAUAGAAUUCCAUCAAACAUUCAAAUGAUGAAUAUUUCACUCCUACUUAAUUGUACUUCACUUAAAAGGUUACAGUUUCUUUGCAAUUUCAAGAACCUAAGAAAGCCUUUCUUGUUCUGGUACAUUCUAAAUUUUAAGAAACAUUUCAUUUGGAAACAGGUAACAGUGGAAAGAGUCUGAUGACUCUAACUUGGGAGUGAUUGCUGCCCAGAAGGUGCAUCUUGUUCCAAAAUGCAUCACUGUGUUUAUACUUCUCAACUCUAAUAGUCCUCCAUCUUUCAUCCUGAAGGACACAAUGCCUAUUGCUACUCUCUCAAAUUUUCAGAGAAUACUAAAGCUUGUGUGUCAAGCCUUCCUAAGUCUGAAACAUUUUUCUCCAAGUGUUUACUUCUAACCAUGCUUUUAAAGCAAGUGCUUGGGCCAGUUAAUAUGAGUCUAUCUUGUGUUGGUUCCCUAGAAGCAGAUCCCGAGAAGAGGGUUAGUGUGGAAGUUAAUUUGGUUAUUAGGAAGUGCCCCCCCCCGGCCCCACAUAGGGUGUUGGGAAGAAUGACUUGGGAGGGGAAGAGGCCAUGUGAGGGUGAAGUACAAAGCCAGGUCCUACAAAGGGGAGCAUUCCAUUGAGAUGUCUCACUCAGGUUGCAGAGAAGCAGGGCUUUAUCCACUGCACCCAUGGUCACACAUGGGUAAGGCUCCCCAUGCUGAAACCAAGCAGGCCCUGUGGGCUCCUGGGCACACAAGCCUUUCUAUGUCCCCAUUUCUUGUUUUUUGGGAAUAAACUUCAGCCUUCAUGACCUUCCCUGAGUUCCAAAAGGCAGGUUCCAACAGUUGCUAAUCAGGGAAGGGAGGAGAUGAGGGGAUGCAGAGACCAGGGAGGAGCAGUCAAGAAAAAAUAGUGUAGUUUUGGGGCGGGUUCCUGGCCCCUCCUCAAGGAAUAUAGAUAACAAUAUCUUUGAGUUCUUAUGCAGAACUAAACCCCCCGACAAUGAAGCAUUCUUUAUUUUGGAGAGAAGACCACCAGACCACUGAACACCAAUUUUGAAAACAAUACAAGCUUGCCUCUACCCUGAUCCUUAUCUGUGGCCCUAUUUUUCACUCACAAAACUAUAAAACCAUCUCCCAACCUCUCCUAAGGGGGCCACAUUAGCCUGCUGUGACCUUCUGCCUGGCAAAGCAAUAAAGCUAUUUUUUUUCUCCUUCACCCCAAACUCUGUCUCUGCAUUUCAGGCAGGCCACCUGCAAAGGAGGCACAGUUGCUCGCAGUUGGGAGGGACCUACACUGGAGGCGAGUGAGCACGAAAAUGGUGAAGGGAUUCAAGGACAUGCAGGAAAUCUUACUUUAUGUCCUGAGAUCUUGGCUUUGUGACCAGUAAUAAUAUUCUCUCUAUGCCAUCAGAGAAAGUGCACUUGGGGGCCAGGUGAAUGGACUGGGAUUCUGAGGCAUGAAGUCACAAGCAGAAUUUUCAUUGUCCACCUGUGUCAGCUCUCAGAGGAAUUCAGCAUAAGGGUUCAGAGUCUAUGAGGGGCCUUUGUUGUCUCAACUUUCAUUAUCUUGCUAGUGCUGGACAGUGCCAUUCCAGUAGU